UGGGAGGUACUGGGUUGGAGACACAGAGACGCAUUUAGAUUGGGAGAUAUAGAUGCAGUUGGUGUUAAACACCGUGAGACUAGACAGACGCAACUAGGGAGUGAGCGCAGAUAGAGGAGAAAAAGAAAGGAAUGAGGCCAGCUUUGGAACAUGCCAGUAUUCAGAGGUCAGGAGAUGCAUGCACACAGCUCAGGAGACCACACAAGAGACAGGAGAGCCAGGGGCUGCUGUGCGUGGAGACGAAGAGGAGAGGAGAUUCAAGCAAAGAGCUGUCAGCCCCGUCAAACCGAGUGUCAGGUCAAGUCCGAUAACAGCCGAGAACCGGACAACAGACUUAGCAAAAUGGAAGUCAGGAAAGACCUUGACAAGGAGAGUCUGGUGAAGAGGGGGAGAUAAGCCCUGGAUGGAAAGAAAGAAGAGAGAAAAAGGGAAACAAACAUAAACAGCAUAAAACAAAACAUCGGAAGUGUUUUCCAGCCUUCCCCGACACGCGGUGAAGAAGGCGAGCCUCACUUGCUGACCAGCUCUCUGAAUAGCAAGCAACUUUCCCACCCUCUGAAGGGCACAGGUGUACCAUUGGAUAAGAGAAAAAGCAAGCCUGAAUCAGAGCGUUGGCUGAUGUCACUGAAAUUCCUUGGAUGCAGAACGUAAGCAGCCCACAAAGAGAGACAUUUUAUUGUCAGCUUGAAUUAAAAGCACAGAAUUUUGAAUGGUUACUAGGAAGACCACAGCAAGUCUUGAAACUCUCCUAUGGACUGACUGCAUGGAGUCCUUUUUGAUGCUGAAAGCAAACUCUUGGUAAGCGUAGGCAGGGUCUCUGCAUUCCACUGUUGACCUGCCAUUGUUAAAUGGAGCCAGGGCGCAACCGCGCUUCAGGCCAUUCGUCAUCUGCUUCUAAGACACGCUGUCACAGAUCUGAGCUCCGCACUUGUCCUUUUGGAGAGGAAAACCAGAACCUAGCGGAAAAUACUGUCCUUCCCGAAACAUCGUGUCCUGGCACUCAGCUCGAGCUGAAUCCAAAUGACGUGCAUCUGCCAAGAAGUCCCCCCUUUUCUGAAGUGACACGAGCUAAUGUCACUUGGAUGUGAAAGUGGACAGCAUAAAGGGCAGGGCUUCUCUGGACUUUCCAAAGACUUGCUUGACCCCCCUGAAAGGAGAUCAGAGCAAAGGGUAAAUCGAGAGCGGAAGAGAGAAAGCACAUCAACGCACACAACUGGGUUUACGUCUGGAGAUUUUCCAAUAGUUCAGACGCGCAUAUUAACUUGGGGAAGAUAAAUGAGCUACUGUUGUUCUGUUUGGAUGGAAGCGUGAUCCAUGGCAACAGACUCGCGCGUCUCCCAAGAGUGCGGUCAGGGGGCAGCCGGCCUGGACGGCGGCUCCUGUGUCCAUGAACACCCAGGAGGAGAGGCAGGCUCCAGCAGAGGAGGAGGUUUGGCUAAACUGACAGCUGUAUCAAAUGUUGAGAACUGAGCAGGAAGUUAAAAAUGGGGCUCAGAAAUAUUUGGAAUACUUUUACGGCUGGCCUUUCCAGCACACCCCAGUUUCUCCUUUGUCCACCUUCCCUCCCACACAUGUCUGCCCUCAUCUCCCGGAGCGGGCUGGCAGCAGGUGGGCAGUGAGUCCGGGAGGACACGAGCCACAGUGGCCCGGAGUGCCCCCUCCACAGGCUGGCUGAGUGGGAGCUGGCUGCUGCCGGCGUGCUCACAGCGGCCGUGCAGAGCGUUCUCGGGGACGGCCGUGUGUGGGACCACUCAACCAGGGCUGCAUUUCUUGAUUUCCCUUGUAGGUGAUUUUUUCUUUGUUUUGCUUCUUGAGAAAGAUCCAGAGUGUGCAGCUCAUCUCGACUGGAGCUUUCACUCGGCACAGCAGGGGAGGCUGUGGGCUUCCCUCCAGCACCGACAGAACGCUGGGUGCGAAGCCGCUCGGAUGAGGGAUGGUACAACAUCUCCAGCUGUACUGAUGUUCGAGAAUUCUCCCAGGAAUUCUUUUCGCGAUACAUGUCCAGGCACUGGUCUCCAGGGCUUUGUGGGGCCAUUUGUUCCCUGGUCUUCUGGAAGUCUGAGGGUUGUGCAAUUGGCCCAUGCUCCUGUUGGCUUGUUCUUCCAUCAGUGGCUUCACCCCGUGAGUCAUUCCCAAGACCAUGGAAGAGGAGGGGUGUCACUCUAGGCUCUGAGAUGGCCAUCCUCGCCUCUCUUUCUCUGUCUGGGACAGAGGUCGAUUCCUGUACCCAAGUCCCCCGAGGAUCCCUCGCUCCGUGGUCCUGCACCCCCAGGCUGCCUGCAGGGACCCCGCAGGGCUGGUGGAGGGAGAAGGGACGUUCUCCUCGCUGCCACGUCCUGUUUCUCUGAGCGCCCUGAGCAGCAAGUCUUCCCCCAGCGGGGCUCUCACUUGUCCCCCUACUUCCUGAACGACAGAAACCCCAGUUUUGUUGGCGUCGUGCCCAACCUGGAACAGUAUUUUCCAGCUUGCUUGCAGAUAAGAGUGGCCAUGUCUAAGUCUGACCAAGGAGAUGUAAGAGGAGGUUUCCAGACUGUCUCCUGGCAGGUAGCCUUUGCCCUCUGGCCUUUGUCCUCCCCUCCUUCCUGGAGAGAACAAGGACCACGGCAGUGGCUCGGCCACCUUGUGCUAUGCUAUCACCUGGACAACUACCCCUGGACAACCUCGAGUUAGGUAAGAGAAAAACAAAAUCCAUAACUUGAGCUGUUGCAUUCCAGUCUCUGUUACUAGGAUCUGCAUGGAGCCCCUAAGACACGAGCCAUGGUCCCCCCAGCCUCCCCCCUCAGUCUUCGAGGACCGGCACUCCCCCAUCCAUCCUGUUCUGGAGUGGCUGAACGACUACUUGCUUCGACCACCUGGGCAGCCUGUGAUGUUCUGGGACCUCCGUGCCCAUUCGAGUGAAGUUGUAGGACCCCCUGGGGCCUCUUCUGCACCUUGUGAGUGAGCUGUGGAGCUGCCCGGGGACGGUGCUCAGGCCCCCAGGGUCUCCUGUCUGCACCCCGGCAGCUCAGGCAGGGCAGCGGGACUCAGCUGCAAGUCUGCAGGUAGGCGAGCUGUCUGCUCCCCUCCUGGUAGGCCCUCCUGUCCCUACCAGUGACUUCUUGGAGCAUCCCGUUUCAGGGCACAGGGCUUAGAACCGAGGUUCAAGAGUGUGUGCUGCCUGGACACUUGGUAGAGUCGGGAGAGCCUGCAACAGUGCACCUGCAAGUCCCCCUCGGCACUCUGCUCCACCCGAAGGUCCCCCCAAACAGCCUCUUGUCAGAUGGUCCGGAGGCAGCUCCUGCUCAUCCCUGAGCUGCGGGUUUAGUUUCCUGCCCACCCGCAGAACCGUUCACACGGCCAGUCACACUCUCCCACUGGAACCAGGGCACCCCACCCUCCUUACCGCAACGGCCACUGCCCACAGCCCUGCUGGCUCACGCUGUUCCCGAGGGCACCCCCGUGUGGUCCUGUGCCGUGUGCCGUGUCCUCCUCCCCCAGGCCGAGAGCACACGUGAGUAAUACACUGCUGUCCAUCUGUCCAGCAGGAUCAUCCCCCUAACUCUAGGGUGGCAAUCCCUCCCUCAGCAACGAGUGGAGAAGAGGUGAUUGAAACAGAAUCCCCCCCUCCGCCACGGGCAGGGAAGCCUCUCCCCCCAGCCACUCCCAGUGCAAAGAGGUCGGGGUCAAGGGAACGGGGCAGCCCUGCCCGCUCUCCCAAUGCAGAGGGCUCACUGACAGUUCACCUCAGAGGGUGGUGCCCGCGGCACCUUCCGCUUUUAGUAGUGACAGUAGAAGCCACUCAACAAACAUCUUCCUGAGUGAGGAAAAGCCCGAAGGAGACACCGCUGUGCAGGGCAGGACUGAGACAUGACGGGAGAGCCCCCACAUGUAAGCUGCCCAUCCCCCCUCUUCUUUUGCAGAAAUCUCAAGCACAUCCAACCUCCUGUUGGGAGAGAAAAAAAGAAUGAGGGAAAGUAAGGAGGGGAGAAGUCUGUCGAAGUUUGCCCUCCGCCUCCCAUCCAUCGGCCGCGUCAGACAGCUGACAACCUGGCUGCUCCCAAGCUUCAGAGCCAUCUCUCUGCUGUGAAAGGCUGGUCGCAGACCUGGUCUGGAGUUUUCACCCUUCAAGCCAUUAUCUGCUGUGUCAGCAGAGCCGUCGGUUGCAUUCAUAUUCACCACUUUGUUCCCAAGUCUAAUCUGGAAGAUACAAAACACAGAAGUGCCAGGAAUCCGCAAUUAGGCUCGCUGUGCAGCCAUCCUCCCGUGACACAGCUGUUGAUGGAAGCGAAGACCAUCCACGCGGAAACACCAUUGUCCAUUGUCAGUGCCCGUCAGUGCCUCUUUGCGUACUUGUCCCUCUGUGACCACACAGCUGGCCUCUUCCCACCCCUCUAAUGCCCACAGUGAAUCCAGAUCCAAACAAGCAACUUCCUCAGAACAACAGUGAGCCAACCCAACAUGAUGAGCAGGUAACCGGUACCCACGGAGCAUCUCGUCAGGAGGAGGAAAGAGGGCUCGUCUUGUGCACCACACAGCAAAGGCCGUGCUCUCCCCCACCCUCCCUGCCCUCUCUCGGCUCCUCACCGCACUCCUCUUCACCCUCGCAGAUUCUAGGAUCGCCUCUACCGUCCAGAGCUGUUUAGUCCCACGAUGACACAGGCAUGUGCUUAACUUGCCGUCUAAGAUCACGGGCAGCCCGGCCAUCUACCUGGUCCCUGGAGAUGCUCCUGUCUCCCAGGCAGCUCUCUGAUGUAUCCACAUGACGAUAGGAAGAGGGACAGGAAGGUGGGGGGGUGUACCGUGAGCAGCCGUCAGACCUGAUCUGCUCCACGACACAUGCAUGGGCACUGCCCCCCGCCUUCAGUCCCCGUAUUGUCCUGCAGGCCCCACUUGCUGCAUCUUUCCCACACACAAGAAAAUAGGCCAAAAAGGGUUUUGGAUAGUUAUCUUAUUUUAUUCCCUUUUUGUUUGUGUCUCUCUGCUGCCCUUGCCCCUCAGCUGUCCCCUAUCUCAAUCUGACGCACACAGUUUCCGUCUGUCCUCAUUUCUUCUCUUCCUUCGGAAAACAUCCAAGAUAAGGUCCCCUGUGACUUGUCUGGCAAUUUUGUCCUCGGCCAACCCAGCUUCAGCCCACGGGCUGCAGAGUCUUUUCUCCCCGGCAAACGAGAGCUCCUAAGAUCUCACCGCAGCACCUGGGAGGUGCUGCGUCACUACACGUUGGGACAAAGCAGAUGCCGAAAUAAAGGGAGUCCCGGGCUCCGUGCAGCAGGGUCAUCCACAGACCUGCCGCCUCCAGCUGCUAGCCCACAGGACAGGUCACAAGGAGGACGGGCCGCGCCGUCAUCGCCGGUCCCGAGCCACGAGAGGGGAGACGGGCAGGAGACGCUUCAUCGCCCCCGAGCCCUGCCCAGGGUGGGCCACGGAUGGAGGCCUCCCUCCAGGAGCUGAAGUUCCUUUAAAAACGACAAGCAUUGCUGCCCCUCUCUGAGCCCCGGAGCCUGCCAAGCGCAGAGGGUUAUCUCAGACGUGGGCUGGGGCACCGAGAGCGCUGUUCCACCCGGAAUCGGUUCUCAACACCCUCAAGCCACCAAGACACAAGCAGACGGCAUGUACUCUCACCAGGAGGACGCCGUCCCCACGAGCUGCUCCUGACAAACGUCUGAGCCUGGAGGACUAAGCUGCUAAUUCUCAGGAAACAUCGGACAGAGGGACGGGAUAAGUGAGGUCUGGAGGCAAAGUCUAGAAGAAGCGGGACUCAGACAGAGAAAACCUCGAGAGGACGGGCGAACUGUGACUAGACUGACAACACGCAGAGAGCGAGCGAGAGUGACCUUCCGAUGCGCCGGAGAAGAACCCCGUCUAGAUUUUGACUCAACAAACUGGGAAAGUGCCACUCACGAGACAACUGGGGAAAUCUGAACACUGACUACAUAUAGGUGGUUUUAAGGAAUUUUAAUGAAGUGUUUUAGGUGGGAUAAUGGCACUUUGGUUGUGUUUUUUUAAAGUCUUUACAUUUUAAAUAUAUACAUAUUUCUAUAUAUACACUUACACACCACACACGCUCCCAGACACG